AGAGGAAUAGCUGGUCAAAUGGUGGCCAUUCCAAGCUUUCCAAGGAAUAUCCAUACUGCUUUCCAAAUUGGCUGUACCAAUUUGCAGUCCCACCAGCAAU
rnacentral:pre_miRNA from 1 species